AGGGUUCGAUUCUGGCUCAGGAUGAACGCUGGCGGCGUGCUUAACACAUGCAAGUCGAACGGGAUCCAUCAGGCUUUGCUUGGUGGUGAGAGUGGCGAACGGGUGAGUAAUGCGUGACCGACCUGCCCCAUACACCGGAAUAGCUCCUGGAAACGGGUGGUAAUGCCGGAUGCUCCAGUUGAUCGCAUGGUCUUCUGGGAAAGCUUUCGCGGUAUGGGAUGGGGUCGCGUCCUAUCAGCUUGACGGCGGGGUAACGGCCCACCGUGGCUUCGACGGGUAGCCGGCCUGAGAGGGCGACCGGCCACAUUGGGACUGAGAUACGGCCCAGACUCCUACGGGAGGCAGCAGUGGGGAAUAUUGCACAAUGGGCGCAAGCCUGAUGCAGCGACGCCGCGUGAGGGAUGGAGGCCUUCGGGUUGUAAACCUCUUUUAUCGGGGAGCAAGCGAGAGUGAGUUUACCCGUUGAAUAAGCACCGGCUAACUACGUGCCAGCAGCCGCGGUAAUACGUAGGGUGCAAGCGUUAUCCGGAAUUAUUGGGCGUAAAGGGCUCGUAGGCGGUUCGUCGCGUCCGGUGUGAAAGUCCAUCGCUUAACGGUGGAUCCGCGCCGGGUACGGGCGGGCUUGAGUGCGGUAGGGGAGACUGGAAUUCCCGGUGUAACGGUGGAAUGUGUAGAUAUCGGGAAGAACACCAAUGGCGAAGGCAGGUCUCUGGGCCGUUACUGACGCUGAGGAGCGAAAGCGUGGGGAGCGAACAGGAUUAGAUACCCUGGUAGUCCACGCCGUAAACGAUGAGUGCUAGGUGUUGGAUCCUUUCCGGGAUUCAGUGCCGCAGCUAACGCAUUAAGCACUCCGCCUGGGGAGUACGACCGCAAGGUUGAAACUCAAAGGAAUUGACGGGGGCCCGCACAA
rnacentral:rRNA from 1 species